UACGGGGGGGGCAAGCGUUGUCCGGAUUUACUGGGCGUAAAGAGCGCGCAGGCGGCCAAGUCAGUCGAAUGUGAAAGCCCCCGGCUUAACUGGGGAGGGUCAUUCGAUACUGCUCGGCUCGAAGACAGGAGAGGGAAGCGGAAUUCCCGGUGUAGUGGUGAAAUGCGUAGAUAUCGGGGGGAACACCAGUGGCGAAGGCGGCUUUCUGGCCUGUUCUUGACGCUGAGGCGCGAAAGCUAGGGGAGCAAACGGG
rnacentral:rRNA from 1 species